UGGGGGAUAUUGCGCAAUGGGGGGAACCCUGACGCAGCAACGCCGCGUGAAGGAAGAAGGCCUUCGGUUGUAACUUCUGUUCUUAGGGAAGAAGACAGUGACGGUACCUAAGGAGCAAGUCACGGCUAACUACGUGCCAGCAGCCGCGGUAAUACGUAGGUGACAAGCGUUGUCCGGAUUUACUGGGUGUAAAGGGCGUGUAGGCGGGAUAUCAAGUCAGCCGUGAAAUGCCGGGGCUUAACUCCGGAGCUGCGGUUGAAACUGAUAUUCUUGAGUGUCGGAGAGGAAAGCGGAAUUCCUAGUGUAGCGGUGAAAUGCGUAGAUAUUAGGAGGAACACCAGUGGCGAAGGCGGCUUUCUGGACGAUAA
rnacentral:rRNA from 1 species